UAUUUAGAAUAGCAGCUGUGUUAGUCUGUAUCCGCAAAAAGAACAGGAGUACUUGUGGCACCUUGGAGACUAACAAAUUUAUUUGAGCAUAAGCUUUCAUGGGCUACAGCCCACUUCAUCUGAUGCAUAUAAUGGAACAUAUAGUAAGAGGAUAUAUAUAUACAUACAGAGAAUCAUGAAAAGGUGGGAGUUGCCAUACAAACUGUAAGAGGCUAAUUAAUUAAGAUGAGCUAUUAUCAGCAUGAGAAAAAAUUUUGUAGUGAUAAUCAAGAUGGCCCAUUUAGACAGUUGACAAGAACGUGUGAGGAUACUUAACAUGGGGAAAUAGAUUCAAUAUGUGUAAUGACCCAGCCACUCCCAGUCUCUAUUCAAACCCAAGUUAAUGGUAUCUAGUUUGCAUAUUAAUUCAGGAUCAGCAGUUUCUCUUUGGAGUCUGUUUUUGAAGUUUUUCUGUUGCAAAAUUGCCAUCCUUAAGUCUGGUACUGAACGGCCAGAACUAUUUAGUUUAGAGAAACAAGAAAUGGUUGGCAGCUCUUCCAAUUGUUUCUCUUACUGCCGACUUAGGGGUGUGGCCCCCACUAUUUUAGUCAUGGUUCUUUUACAUACCUUAGGGAACACCUACGCAGAAAGUCCAUUAUUAACCAUGGCUAUUUUAUUAUUGAAGCAAGGAAAAGAAAACUUUAAACAAGACAAAACACAACUUCUGUCACAAUCUUUUCUGUCUUUGUCUCUGUGGAGCAGAGAGCUUGAAGCAGAGAUUACACCUUUGAGUGGAUUGCCUCCUGGGGGCAUUCUUUGUUUGGUAAAGUAAGAUCAGAAUAUAUUGAUUCCCCAAAUUAUUGUGAAUUCAGUUUUAGUAUCUUAUUACAUACUCAAACUGUUUAUAAUUCUGCAAAAUAAUUUGUUUAACGGCAGGAUGGGAAACCAAUCUACUACAUCCUAUGAAGAUGAAGAAAAGUCAGUUACUUAGAAGAAGUCAUUUAAGAAACUGUCUUGAGAGGCCAAUUGAUGAAUAUUAAUAAUCUUAAAUCUAAUUAAGUCUUAUUUCUUUGUUUAGCUCCUGUCUCCUCUCCAGGAACACCUGGUCUAGCCACUGGGCAACUAGUAGGAGAAACAUAGUAUGAACCCGCAGCAGUGGUAACUUAACUGCUUAACUCCAGGUGGUGUCAGGAGUGAAUCAGUGGGAACACAGCAAUUCCGUCUGAUAAAAGAUUAAUGCAAUCGCCAUACUGCUGUCAGCAGAUGGUGCAGUAGGACUGCUAACCAUCAUCGUCCUCCACCAUCAUCGUCGUCAUCCACCGCUUCUGCUG